CCCGGGCUUCGGCCUGGUUAUUCAUAACCCUUUGUUGUCCGACUCUGUUGCCUCCGGGGCGACCCUGCCUUCGGGCGGGGGCUCCGGGUGGACACUUCAAACUCUUGCGUAACUUUGCAGUCUGAGUAAACUUAAUUAAUAAAUUAAAACUUUUAACAACGGAUCUCUUGGUUCUGGCAUCGAUGAAGAACGCAGCGAAAUGCGAUAAGUAAUGUGAAUUGCAGAAUUCAGUGAAUCAUCGAAUCUUUGAACGCACAUUGCGCCCCCUGGUAUUCCGGGGGGCAUGCCUGUUCGAGCGUCAUUUCACCACUCAAGCCUCGCUUGGUAUUGGGCAACGCGGUCCGCCGCGUGCCUCAAAUCGUCCGGCUGGGUCUUCUGUCCCCUAAGCGUUGUGGAAACUAUUCGCUAAAGGGUGUUCGGGAGGCUACGCCGUAAAACAACCCCAUUUCUAAGGUUGACCUCGGAUCAGGUAGGGAUACCCGCUGAACUUAAGCAUAU
rnacentral:rRNA from 1 species